UGGUAAAUCUCAUCUAAAGCUAAAUAUUUGGUAAGAGACCGAUAGAAUACAAGUACCGUGAGGGAAAGAUAGAAAAGAACUUUAGAAAAGAGAGUUAAAAGUACUUGAAAUUGUUAACUGGGGAACCGCUUAAAUUCUAAUCUCUUAAUUUUAUUAAAUCAUCUUCUUUAAAGCUGGAUCACAUUAAAUAGAUGUAACUCAGUUACUCUAUGAGUGGGUGAAGUCAGAGAGGAAGUGCACUUUAGUAGAAUUAUAAUCAACAUGAAUUUUAAGAAACUUAGAAAAAUAGAAGAAAGGUAGUAGUCUUAUCUUCGGGUAUUACUAUGUUAUAAUCUUUUAUUGAAUGAGUUACUUAAGAUUGAGGAAUCAAUGUACUCCUCUACGGAUUGUGAUAUUAGGUUCAUGAGAG
rnacentral:rRNA from 1 species